ACACGCGGUAGGAGAGCGUUCUGUAAGCCUGCGAAGGUGUCUCGAGAGGGAUGCUGGAGGUAUCAGAAGUGCGAAUGCUGACAUGAGUAGCGAUAAAGGGGGUGAAAAGCCCCCUCGCCGUAAGUCCAAGGUUUCCUGCGCAACGUUCAUCGGCGCAGGGUGAGUCGGCCCCUAAGGCGAGGCAGAGAUGCGUAGCUGAUGGGAAGCUGGUUAAUAUUCCAGCACCGUCGUACAGUGCGAUGGGGGGACGGAUCGUGGAAGGUCAUCGGGAGAUUGGUAGUUCCCGUUGCUGCACUAUAGAAGGCGCUUCAGGCAAAUCCGGGCGCGUAAUUCAAGGGUGUGGCUGAAUAGGACUUCGGUCCUAAACUGAUUGGAAGUGGUCCCAAGAAAAGCCUCUAAGCUUCAGCUGUACGAGACCGUACCGCAAACCGACACAGGUGGACGGGAUGAAUAUUCCAAGGCGCUUGAGAGAACUCGGGAAAAGGAACUCGGCAAAUUGAUACCGUAACUUCGGGAUAAGGUAUGCCCUGGUAGUGUGAUAGGCUCGCGCCUAGAGCAUGAAGGGGUCUCAGAGAAUCGGUGGCUGCGACUGUUUAUUAAAAACAUAGCACUCUGCAAACACGAAAGUGGACGUAUAGGGUGUGACGCCUGCCCGGUGCCGGAAGGUUAAGUGAUGGGGUGCAAGCUCUUGAUCGAAGCCCCGGUAAACGGCGGCCGUAACUAUAACGGUCCUAAGGUAGCGAAAUUCCUUGUCGGGUAAGUUCCGACCUGCACGAAUGGCGUAACGAUGGCCACACUGUCUCUUCCCGAGACUCAGCGAAGUUGAAGUGGUUGUGAUGAUGCAAUCUACCCGCGGCUAGACGGAAAGACCCCAUGAACCUUUACUGUAGCUUUGCAUUGAACUGUGAACCGGCCUGUGUAGGAUAGGUGGGAGGCGUUGAACUCAUGUCGCCAGAUGUGAGGGAGCCAACCUUGAAAUACCACCCUGGUCUGUUUGCGGUUCUAACCUAGGUCCAUUAUCUGGAUCGGGGACCGUGCAUGGUGGGCAGUUUGACUGGGGCGGUCUCCUCCCAAAGUGUAACGGAGGAGUACGAAGGUACGCUAGAGACGGUCGGAAAUCGUCUUGAUAGUGCAAUGGCAUAAGCGUGCUUGACUGUGAGACCUACAAGUCGAACAGGUGCGAAAGCAGGUCAUAGUGAUCCGGUGGUUCUGUAUGGAAGGGCCAUCGCUCAACGGAUAAAAGGUACUCUGGGGAUAACAGGCUGAUACCGCCCAAGAGUUCAUAUCGACGGCGGUGUUUGGCACCUCGAUGUCGGCUCAUCACAUCCUGGGGCUGUAGCCGGUCCCAAGGGUAUGGCUGUUCGCCAUUUAAAGUGGUACGUGAGCUGGGUUUAAAACGUCGUGAGACAGUUUGGUCCCUAUCUGCCGUGGGCGUUGGAUACUUGACGGAGCCUGCUCCUAGUACGAGAGGACCGGAGUGGACGUACCUCUGGUGUACCGGUUGUCAUGCCAAUGGCAUCGCCGGGUAGCUAUGUACGGAAGAGAUAACCGCUGAAGGCAUCUAAGCGGGAAACUCGUCUGAAGAUAAGGUGUCCCGGGGCCUAGAGCCCCCUAAAGGGUCGUUCGAGACCAGAACGUUGAUAGGCUGGGUGUGGAAGUGCAGUAAUGCACGUAGCUAACCAGUACUAAUUGCCCGUGCGGCUUGAUCCUAUAACCUUGCAGGUUA
rnacentral:rRNA from 1 species